CGCACCAUUUUUAAACCCAUUCCUAGGCUUUGGUAGGGGUUACGCUGUGGUGCAACAGUAUUUUCUGCUUUCCCUUACUGCGCCUUCCAUGUGCAGUGUUUGGUGAUGGCAGUGAACAUUG